AUAACUAUUGGAAACGAUGGCUAAUACCGCAUAACGCCUACGGGCCAAAGAGGGGGACCUUCGGGCCUCUCGCGUCAAGAUAUGCCUAGGUGGGAUUAGCUAGUUGGUGAGGUAAUGGCUCACCAAGGCGACGAUCCCUAGCUGGUCUGAGAGGAUGAUCAGCCACACUGGAACUGAGACACGGUCCAGACUCCUACGGGAGGCAGCAGUGGGGAAUAUUGCACAAUGGGCGCAAGCCUGAUGCAGCCAUGCCGCGUGUAUGAAGAAGGCCUUCGGGUUGUAAAGUACUUUCAGUCGUGAGGAAGGCGGCGUCGUUAAUAGCGGCGUUGUUUGACGUUAGCGACAGAAGAAGCACCGGCUAACUCCGUGCCAGCAGCCGCGGUAAUACGGAGGGUGCGAGCGUUAAUCGGAAUUACUGGGCGUAAAGCGCAUGCAGGUGGUUUGUUAAGUCAGAUGUGAAAGCCCGGGGCUCAACCUCGGAAUUGCAUUUGAAACUGGCAGACUAGAGUACUGUAGAGGGGGGUAGAAUUUCAGGUGUAGCGGUGAAAUGCGUAGAGAUCUGAAGGAAUACCGGUGGCGAAGGCGGCCCCCUGGACAGAUACUGACACUCAGAUG
rnacentral:rRNA from 1 species